rnacentral:rRNA from 1 species
ACGGCCGCAAGGUUAAAACUCAAAUGAAUUGACGGGGGCCCGCACAAGCGGUGGAGCAUGUGGUUUAAUUCGAUGCAACGCGAAGAACCUUACCUGGUCUUGACAUCCACGGAAGUUUUCAGAGAUGAGAAUGUGCCUUCGGGAACCGUGAGACAGGUGCUGCAUGGCUGUCGUCAGCUCGUGUUGUGAAAUGUUGGGUUAAGUCCCGCAACGAGCGCAACCCUUAUCCUUUGUUGCCAGCGGUCCGGCCGGGAACUCAAAGGAGACUGCCAGUGAUAAACUGGAGGAAGGUGGGGAUGACGUCAAGUCAUCAUGGCCCUUACGACCAGGGCUACACACGUGCUACAAUGGCGCAUACAAAGAGAAGCGACCUCGCGAGAGCAAGCGGACCUCAUAAAGUGCGUCGUAGUCCGGAUUGGAGUCUGCAACUCGACUCCAUGAAGUCGGAAUCGCUAGUAAUCGUGGAUCAGAAUGCCACGGUGAAUACGUUCCCGGGCCUUGUACACACCGCCCGUCACACCAUGGGAGUGGGUUGCAAAAGAAGUAGGUAGCUU